GUUCCUCUUUUCAGGACUAAGUCGGAAAGAAGAAGAAAGGCAGACUCCAUCAAUCAAUGGGUGAGAUUGAAACCCCGGAAAGAUACGAUCCAUGAAUAGAUAGGUUCCCACGUCCCAGGUAGCGCUUAGAAGGCAGUGAAGGAAAGCGUUUCAAUUCUUUCAGAGUCCCGCUCAGGGCGAAAAUGACCGAGGGAAAGGGAAAUGGCUAUCAGUUCUGACUCUAUUCCCGAGGGGGAAUCAAUUGUUUCAGCUCGAGUGAAUAUGUCGAAAGUUAUCGUCACGGAAUCUUUCUUAUUUUAGUAAUCUGCGUUGCUGUGAUGAUGACCACUUUAGAACUGUUACUUGGAAUUGGGCUUGCUUGAUUGUUCGCCUCAAUUUGACUGCUUUACACAUAUUGCUGGGUCUAUCGGUGGUCUUUUGAUGCCUGCAACAGGUCUGUUUACUGUUUUAUUUCAGUCUUUGGUCGCUCAGAUAAAUUCAUGCACAUAAUUUGUGCUCCCAUCAUUGAUUUUAUUAAAGGAAUGGACAGAAUGCUGCUUUGAAGUCUACUUGAAUGGAAAUUUGAGUAAAAGUAUGUGUGAAGUGGUGAAAUGUAAGCGAAGAAGAGAAGGGGUAAGUGCUGCAAUCAAGAUAAAGUCACUUAGGCAAAUAGAUGGGUCAGGUUCAGUAAGAAUUUGUGCUAUAUGAUCUGAAGAAAAAAAAUUAAAUUUUGAGAUUGGCAACUGAAUGAAGAUUAUGAAGGCCCAAUACACAGAAAAUAUAACAUGAGAAAGAUCAAGAAAUUGAAAAAUGCUAUAAAAAAAACCAUGAUAGAUUAGUUCAAGUGAUCAAACUAAGGAGCUAAUGUAUGAAAGAGAUGGGAAUAUAAAGAGUGAACUUUUACUGGAAAAGCAGGUUGGAAUAUAAAGAAGGUCAUAGUUUAAUGAUUCCAAAAACCGAUUGCUUUUCAUUUUCCUUUAUGUUCUGUCUAUAUCACCCUUCCCAUUUUCUUCAGCUGUUAGCAAUCCAGAGGCAUAUCUUUCGAGAAAUACGUACCAUUGUUGUGACAUUUUCUUUCUCGAAUCUCAAGCAUGCAGGUACAUUAUGCAUGAUCCCUUGCCUUGUCAAAAGCUGGCACCAGUUAUGAAAGCUAGAGGAUGCAAGUUGUGGAAAAACAAGGACCAUUCCUCUGGACAUUUAGCUUUUGUCCAUGUUGUACAUGGCUUUGGAUUCUGGUCCUUUCUAAAACGAAAAGAAUAAUUGCAUCUCUUGUUUUCUUCCCUCUGGGAGACUUCUCUCCCUGAUUAGAUUUUGGAUUUUAGCCCAUUUGGUUUUGUCUGGAUAAGUCACUAACUUCGUAACAAAUUAGACUUGCUUUAUGGCUGCUAGGCUGUUCUUGCGCUAUGCACUUUGUAUCAUAUGUUAACCAAAACUAUUUAGCUUGGUUAAUUUAUUUUGCUACACAGAAUUCCUGUUGGAGUA